AUGGCAGCGCCAUGGUCCUGUUGCCCACGACGGCACCAACGGCUGCAACCAGAGGUUUUUUUGGGCCAGCAGAUUCAAGAAACACCAGGCGCUUCCAAUGCAAUCACGACACCCUCGAGUGGAACCACAGAAACGAUAAAUGGUCAACAAGGCGAUUUAAAAGUGUAUGUUCCUAGGAAAUUCUCUUAUAUUGAAUUGGCACAAGCAACAGCUAAUUUCAAUGAGGAGAGAAAGCUUGGACAGGGUGCUUUUGGUGUUGUCUAUGACGGCAGACUUGAAGGCAUAGAUGGGUCUGUGGCGAUAAAAGAGAUCCUAGAAACGUUCUCAGAACAAACGAAAAAGGCUUUUGAUGUUGAAGUUCAAAUUAUGAGCCAGCUGCAUCAUCGGAACAUUUUAAGUCUAAAGGGUUGGUGUAAGGAAGACCAACACCUACUGCUUAUCUACGAAAAAGUGGAGAACGGUAACCUGGAGGACCAUCUUUACCCUAAGAAUGGCGCCAUGGAUAGUGGAGUUUAUACUGAAAGAGAGAAUGGUACAUGUCUGUCUUCACACCUAAGUUGGCUGACAAGGUGCAACAUAAUAAUUGGUAUAGCCUCUGGUCUAGCAUACCUCCAUAAGGAAUGCCAGGCUACUGUCGUGCAUAGGGAUCUCAAGCCAGCUAAUGUAAUGCUGGACAAGAACUGGAAUGCUAAACUGGCAGACUUUGGGCUGGUGACACAACUCAGGCGUACCCAAACCUCGCGCCCUACGGACAAUGUCAUCGGGACACUAUCAUAUAUGGACCCAGCAUACAUGAACACCGGCAAAGUAUCCGAGCACUGUGAUGUCUACAGCUUCGGCGUGGUAUUGCUUGAGAUUGUCUGUGGUAAAAGACCAUCCAUCAUGCAAGGCAGUGAUAACACUAGAAAGAACAGCCUCAUCGAGAUGGUCCGUGAAUGUCAAGGGAGGAAUAGAAUUAUCGAUGCAGCUGACAAAGGGCUCAGGGGGCAGUACGACAAUAAGAUCAAAGAUGUGUUACGGCUCGGUCUCGAGUGCGUCCACUCAGAUCGUCGUGAUCGUCCACAUGCCGUAAGAGUGAGGGAUCGCUUAAAUGAUCUGGUGCCGAAUGGGAAGGGAUUAGCUGCCUCGACCUCUCAGAGUGAAGGGGAGUUUGGUACGUGCAGGAUCACGUUCCCUACGCAUUCACUGGCCGACGAAGAAGCUGGCGUUUCACCCCUUCUUUCUAGGUGA
rnacentral:rRNA from 1 species